GGGGAACGGGCCGAUCGCGGGUUCGAUUCCCCCU
rnacentral:tRNA from 1 species